GGAGAAGGUGUCGUCUUGCUCUUCAUCAUUGGUGGAGAGGUGCUUCGCAGGCCUCUCAGUGGCUGUAUCACAUCAGGAGACAUGGAAAGAAUCUCAUGGCUCCAAGUCCUCACCCUGGUCCUCUGCAGAGAAAGUCCUCAACGGACAGUAUUGAACGGAGAAAGAAAGAGAUGCCAAAGAUCCCCACCACCCCCACCAGUCCCAUGUCCCCCUCCUUCAGCUCAGCAGGGGUUCCCCUGUCCCCUUGCCUGGCCACUGGAGUAACCAUCAGGGACAAGUGCAUCGAGAUGCUGGUUGCUGCUCUACGCACGAUGAUAACUUCAAAGAAUUUGAGACAAACUGUGACUCGUUGGCAGCAGAGAUUGAAGAUCAUAU
ensembl:lncRNA